AGCGAACGCUGGCGGCGUGCUUAACACAUGCAAGUCGAACGUGAAAGGGAGCAAUCCUGAGUAAAGUGGCGUACGGGUGAGUAACACGUAGGUAAUCUACCUUACAGUUCGGAAUAACCUGCCGAAAGGCGGGCUAAUACUGGAUAGAGCGAAGGAAGUUAUAAUGACUUCUUCGGGAAAGGGAGCCUGAAAGGGCCUUUGCUGUAAGAUGAGCCUGCGUCCCAUUAGCUAGUUGGUGGGGUAAUGGCCUACCAAGGCAGUGAUGGGUAGCUGGGCUGAGAGGAUGAUCAGCCACACUGGAACUGAAACACGGUCCAGACUCCUACGGGAGGCAGCAGUAGGGAAUCUUGCGCAAUGGAAGAAAGUCUGACGCAGCCACGCCGCGUGAGUGAAGAAGGCCUUCGGGUUGUAAAGCUCUGUCGUGUGGGACGAAAAACAUUAUGGUGAAUAGCCAUAGUGUCUGACGGUACCAUGAAAGGAAGCACCGGCUAACUCUGUGCCAGCAGCCGCCGUAA
rnacentral:rRNA from 1 species